rnacentral:rRNA from 1 species
CGUUACGGCCACACCACCUGAACACGCCUGAUCUUGUCUGAUCUCGGAAGCUAAGCAGGGCCGGGCCUGGUUAGUACUUUGGUGGGAGACCGCCUGGGAAUACCAGGUGCUGUAAGUU